rnacentral:lncRNA from 1 species
AUCAUGUCCCUGCAGACCCGGAUGGAGAGGAUGAGCCCGGCCGCGCUGAACUUCUUGUAGAGCAUCGCCUCGGUCACGUCGGGAUGGAGGUCCCCCACGUACAGCGAGGACGUAGCUGGGGGCACUGGGGUUCAUCUCGGCACUGCUGCUCGCAGGGCCACAGGCCGCGACCUUUCCGUGAGAGGAGGAGAGCGAAUGCUGGGGCUAGGGGCCGGAGCUGGGGGAAGAAGAUGGAGUAUACACCUCCACCUCUUUGAGUUCAGGCUUGCCACUGUGACUGCUUUGGCCUUUGGAAACUGGGCUGAAGGGACAGGGUGCCAGUUCUAGGCAGAAACUUUGAGAUCCAGGGCAUGACUCAUCACAAGGGAGUUCCUUCCAGUUCUUGAUAAAGAUAAAGGGAGCACCCAUGGACUUGAGUAACUGCAGAGGAGCACCGUGGUGCACAGAUGUAUUCCC